AAAUAGUUUCACAUAGCCAUCUAGAAUUCAUAUUUGCUUAUAAUUUAUUAUGUCAUUCUUAUGCAUAUCACAUCUUCAUAUGUGCUAUGUGCAAAAGUGCAUAAUUUUUAAUGACAUUUAACGUCCAAUAAAAGCUCUUGGUUUUGUGUUGCACAACACCUUUCUUCUUUCGAGCUUCUCGUCUCUUUAUUCUCCUCUGCACAAUAAUGACUUCAAUUCUAUACAAGGUUUCCUAUUUUGUGCUAAUCCCAUUGUGUGAUUCUUCUCCUUUGUGGAAGAAGGGAAGGGGAUUUUAUUUUCUAGGGUAAGGAAGAAGUGGAUUUUGUUUUCUAGGGUAAGGAAGAAAGGGGUUUUGGUUUCAUAAGAGAAAUUGAGUAACAAACGUGAAUCAAAGCAAGUGGAACGCAUAUUUGAGGAUUGAUGAAAGAGAUCUGCAACCAUGAUAUGAUGGUGGGUCAAAUGGGGUGGAGAAAUAGGCUGGUUUCGGUGGUCUUGCAAGGGUUAGAAGAUGAAGAUACCUCUGUGCAUGAUGUUGGGUUUGGUGAGGAGUUUUUUCUGAAUAGAGAUGUGAGAUCAGGUUCUCAGGUUUACAUAAUAGAAAAAUUAAACUUAUUUAUAUCCAAGGGCUCAAGGUUGAAGUAGUGAUUGAAACAAUUAUUUUGCAUAUAAUUAAUGUGGAAGAAGUCAUCACCAUUUUGAUGUAGUCUAUCCUAGCGUCGCCCAUUGAGGCUAAUAAUGUACUGGUUUACAUAAGAUUCUCCUCUUUACUAGGUUUAAGACACAAUCCUUCACGCUAAGAUUCAUCUGCGGUUUAUGUCAUUGAAGGAGCUUGAACGUGCUAGGUAUUAGUACCUUGGUGUCUAUUUUCUAUCUCUAGUAAACUCAAUUGAUGAAACUGAUCCCUAAAUAUAUCCACGUUAGAUGAAUCCAAUUCUUCACAAAAACAUUUGCAGAGUAGGUUGUGAAUAAUUCCACAUUAGGUUGUGGAAUUAUGAAGAACUAUUCUUUUAUUAUCUGGGGCAUUUACUGCAAUGGCCAUACUGGGAAAGUUGGAUCAGUUAUUGGCACCAAAAGAACUGUCAAUCACAUUGGCACCAUUAGGGGCAAUUUUUUGCUCUCCUAUUUGUCUCUCUUUUAACCCCUUCUGUCGGGAUACUACUACUGCUGCUAUCUCUUUUUAGGCCUUAUUGUGACAAAUAUCAUUGAUGCGGUGUGUAAGUUGAGUUUGAGUUUGUUAAAUAGCUCCAUAUAUGGUUUUCUUUAAUUGUGAUUAUGCAGAAGUUCAAUAUGUUGAUGGCCCAAAUAGGUUGUGCAGCCAUUGGUGUUUUGGCGUUUACAAUAUUUGGAGUUCUAGUCUUGCAGCUUGUGUUGAAAUUUAUUACCUUAGGUCUGUGACAUCUUUGGUGUGUGUGUUUUCUUUAAUUAUCAUAUGGCUAAAUCUUGAAAUUUUAGUUUGAUUUUAGUUUAGAUUGGUUUAAACUAGUUUCUCAAGUUAAUGAUUUCAAUGGUUGUUUAGAUUGCUUA